CAACUAAAAGUAAAUGAAAAACAUCAUUCCUACUUGAGUUCAUAACCCGGCUUUAAUAAUCUAGGUCAAACAGACCAUAUCAAUUUAAGAACUUGCAGUGACUAUGAAAGCUAAGUAAACCAAAUUACAACUCAACAAACCAUAAAAAUUGAAUCUUCAGGUGUUUUAUUACUAUGUCCACCAAGUACCAACCCUCAAGCAAGGCAGAGAAUUUGGGUAGGUAAAGUUACCAUAAAUGCAAAAUAACAUAGGUAAUCAUUUCAGUCCAUCGGCA